GUACUUUCCCCUCGACUCAUCGUCGAAUGAGAAAGGGCUCCUCUUGAAUUUUGAAGACCGGAACGGCAAGGCCUGGCGAUUCCGGUACUCUUAUUGGAACAGUAGCCAGAGCUAUGUGAUGACCAAAGGCUGGAGCCGGUUCGUCAAGGGAAGCUUGAUGCAGGCGAUGUCGUGUCAUUUCAGCGAGGCGUUGGCGAGUCAGGGAAGCAUCAUUUAUACAUAGACUGGAGACGCAGGCCUAAUGCACCAGAUCCAACAUUGUUUGCACAUUUAGAGCUGCAAAAUCAGCUACGCUUCCAACAGUCGGUGAGUUGGGGUAGGCUCUACUCGCUGCCUCAGCCUUUGUCGUCUAUUCCACGACCAUAUGAACAACCUCAAUUCCAGCAUUUGAGUUACAGUAUUCAUCAUCAUCAUCAACCUUAUCAUCAAUAUCAUUAUCAUCAACAGGCGCAGCAUUACUUAAGACCAGCAGGGGCACUUCCAAUUGGGGCAGUGUAUCAACAAGGAGGGGAUCAAGCACCAGCGGUGGUUGAUUCAGUUCCAGUUGUUCACGGAAGAAGUGUGGGAAAGCGGUUGAGGCUUUUCGGUGUAAACAUGGAGUGUCCAGCACAAGAUGAUCAGUCUUCUUCUUCUUCUCCUCCUUCUUCUUGUUCUUUUGUUACCCUACCAGCACAUGGAAGUACUACAACCAUGAGUUCGUUCUCGCCUUUUUUAGCUUCCUCACCUCUUCAGCCUCCCCAGUCAAGGGUACACAGUAGUUCAAUGCCAACAACGCAAGAAGCUGAGUUUUCAAAG
rnacentral:misc_RNA from 1 species